UCUUUCUACCUCAGAUGGUUCUUUUGUUUUAAAACUAGUAGUGAAUAUACAGAAAUUAUAUUUUUGCUACAAUGUCAGCUCCCGCUCCCACGUCGCCGCCGUCGACGAACUCAACGGCUCCACCUCCGGCCACCCCUGCCGCCCCUCCACCAGCCACUCCCUCUGCACCACCUCCUGCUACUCCUGCAGCACCUCCACCAGCAACCCCAUCACCUCCACCACCAGCUGCUACUUCACCAGCUCCAGCCGCAUCAUCCUCUCCGCCGCCGCCUUCUACUCCUUCACCUUCUCCACCUGCUCCUCCUCCUCCAUCGGCCACCUCUCCUCCGCCUUCAACC
rnacentral:lncRNA from 1 species